rnacentral:sRNA from 1 species
GCACGGUCCGUGUCAACCGGACGCGAUAGAGAAGGUGGACGCAGUGGUUUUUCCGGUUUCACGCUGCGGCUUAACGAAUUGGCACGCGAGCACCCGACCUAUCCGGACC